GUAUGUCUGUCCAUCACAAAUGAAGAAGCACGUCAGCUCAUAACCGGAUGAUUUUGUUUUGAUUAUCAUGUGCACCUUCAUUUGUUCUUCAUACUACACGGUGGUAAAUAAAAAUCUGUCCAAAAUGGAAUGUAAAAUUCUUUGCUCCAGCCCUACCACGAAUAUCAUACGGAAUUGGAAUUGAUUUUAGUUGUUGGACUCUACAACUUGCCGGAUAGAUGAAAAUUGCCACCAUUUUUAAACGCUGCUGCGUACGACUGGAUGUGAAGUUUUGUUUCUGGGAAUAUUCGCGUUGAAUAAAAUUAUAUCAGAAUGAUUCGAAGAGUUCGUGUAGUGCUUCGAGACAGCUUCACGAUCGGCAGAUCGGGGAUCAUCACGCCGGUAUUACGGAUGUCCGCGGACAUAUUAGUUAGCCUAAAGCGAGUGUUCUAUCAAUCGAAAAUAAAAGCGAUGGCAAUUCAAACACGACGAAAAUGUGUCCCCGUUUCCGUGUGGGGAUUGUCAAUUCCUUCCCAUGACCGCCGCUUCCAUUCCCCGGACAUCACCGUUGCCGUCUAUUGAAUUAUUAAGAAUAUUGGCGCAG